rnacentral:misc_RNA from 1 species
UGUGUUUAAUCAACCAUUCUUCAAGAUUACAAUCGUAUGACUCAUUUACACAUAUAUUCUUCCUUUGAGUAGUCAUCACCGUGGAUUGGAGAAGGAGAAGGAGAGCGAGAGACCCUCUCCAAGCCGGCGGCAGUUAGAAUAACGAUUCGAGAGAGAAGAGUGGAAAGGACUAAGUAAUUGUUUGAUUGAGCCACACUGCCACUGCAGGUUGAUAAACACUGGUGAUGUAGUGACGAGGACUGAUCUUGGAAGAGGAGCUUGAAGACCAACCGAAGAGAGGAGACAAUGAGAAUUGAUGACCAGACAAAAAAGCAAUGAGCGC